GCCUCUGUGGCUUAGUGGUAGAGCGUCGCACUCGUAAAUACUUGACAUGCGAAGGUCCUCGGUUCAAUUCCGAGUAGAGGCA